GACGAACGCUGGCGGCGUGCCUAAUACAUGCAAGUCGAGCGAAGCGGCGGAUGGGUGAGUAACGCGUGAGUAACCUGCCCUUAAGUCUGGGAUACUCUUUGCAAACAGAUGCUCAUACCGGAAUCUUAAGGAUGGACCUGCGGUGCAUUAGCUAGUUGGUAAGGUAACGGCUUACCAAGGCGAUGAUGCAUAGCCGAUUUGAGAGGCGGAUCGGCCACAUUGCGACUGAGACACGGCCCAGACUCCUACGGGAGGCAGCAGUAGGGAAUCUUCCACAAUGGACGAAAGUCUGAUGGAGCAACGCCGCGUGAGUGAAGAAGGUUUUCGGAUCGUAAAGCUCUGUUGUUGGUGAAGCGGUAAUCAACCAGAAAGUCACGGCUAACUACGUGCCAGCAGCCGCGGUAAUUC
rnacentral:rRNA from 1 species